GUAAACUAAAACAACAACUUUGCAUGUCUCAUACAUAAUUAAUACAUGUAAACAUUCUUUUCCUGUUUAUUAUAUCAGUGAAAUCUAAAAUUAGGUGAAUUGUAUAUGAAUAAAUGUAAAUAAAAUGCAUUUUAAUAUCCCACCGAAAAUUCAUAUUUGAAUAAAAAUCACAGAGUAUGAAACAUAGCUACAAAGUGCAUUUCACCAAGAAAUUCAACAUGUAUGUAAUAGAUUGACUGAGGUUCAAUCAAUACUUGUUUUGCAGCCAAUAAAACAUAUGUCAAUCAAUUACCAAUAUAAACUUAAUGUUAUUCAUUCUUAUGCUUUAGAUUUGAGAUAACUAAAAAUUGUGCUUUAUUGUAUCAAAAAUUAACAAUAUGUAUGUGUUUGUUGUCGCACAAUCUUUCAAAUAUUUAAAAAAGUAAAAUAUUUAUUUCCCAAAAUAUAUUAAAUGAAAAUGUUACUAAGUCUGUUUAUCUUUGUUUUGUGUCUGGAGUCUUUAAUAGGAAACAUUCUUGAUCUACACAUAAAGAUGAGGACUAGCUAAUGAUGAAAAUAUCUGAAACUAAAAAUAUCAUACUAUAUAGAUUAAAGAGUCAAAUUCA
rnacentral:lncRNA from 1 species